AUGAUUAUGACAACUUAUGGUCUUUGACCGUUCUGAGGAAGUAUAUGCAGGAACCAUUGUUAUUUAGGAAUUCUUCGUUUAUGAUCUUCGU
rnacentral:snoRNA from 1 species